rnacentral:rRNA from 1 species
UACGUAGGUGGCAAGCGUUAUCCGGAAUUAUUGGGCGUAAAGAGCGCGCAGGUGGUUGAUUAAGUCUGAUGUGAAAGCCCACGGCUUAACCGUGGAGGGUCAUUGGAAACUGGUCGACUUGAGUGCAGAAGAGGGAAGUGGAAUUCCAUGUGUAGCGGUGAAAUGCGUAGAGAUAUGGAGGAACACCAGUGGCGAAGGCGGGUAACUGGACUGCAACUGACGCUGAUGCGCGAAAGUGUGGGGAGCAAACAGGAUUAGA